rnacentral:rRNA from 1 species
GACGAACGCUGGCGGCGUGCCUAACACAUGCAAGUCGAGCGGAGUUGUAUCGGAAGCUUGCUUUCGAUAUAAUUUAGCGGCGGACGGGUGAGUAACGCGUGGGCAACCUGCCUCGUACUGGGGGAUAACACUGGGAAACUAGUGCUAAUACCGCAUAACAAAGCAUUACCGCAUGGUAGAGCUUUCAAAGGAGCAAUCCGGUAAGAGAUGGGCCCGCGUCCGAUUAGCUAGUUGGUGGGGUAAAGGCCUACCAAGGCGACGAUCGGUAGCCGAACUGAGAGGUUGAUCGGCCACAUUGGGACUGAGACACGGCCCAGACUCCUACGGGAGGCAGCAGUGGGGAAUAUUGCGCAAUGGGGGAAACCCUGACGCAGCAACGCCGCGUGAAGGAUGAAGGUCUUCGGAUUGUAAACUUCUUUGAUUGGGGACGAAUAAUGACGGUACCCAAAGAACAAGCCACGGCUAACUACGUGCCAGCCGCCGCGGUAACAC